rnacentral:rRNA from 2 species
GGUAACACUAACUGGAGGACCGAACCGACUAAUGUUGAAAAAUUAGCGGAUGACCUGUGGCUGGGGGUGAAAGGCCAAUCAAACCGGGAGAUAGCUGGUUCUCCCCGAAAGCUAUUUAGGUAGCGCCUCGUGAAUUCAUCUCCGGGGGUAGAGCACUGUUUCGGCUAGGGGGCCAUCCCGGCUUACCAACCCGAUGCAAACUGCGAAUACCGGAGAAUGUUAUCACGGGAGACACACGGCGGGUGCUAACGUCCGUCGUGAAGAGGGAAACAACCCAGACCGCCAGCUAAGGUCCCAAAGUCAUGGUUAAGUGGGAAACGAUGUGGGAAGGCCCAGACAGCCAGGAUGUUGGCUUAGAAGCAGCCAUCAUUUAAAGAAAGCGUAAUAGCUCACUGGUCGAGUCGGCCUGCGCGGAAGAUGUAACGGGGCUAAACCAUGCACCGAAGCUGCGGCAGCGACACUGUGUGUUGUUGGGUAGGGGAGCGUUCUGUAAGCCUGUGAAGGUGUGUCGUGAGGCAUGCUGGAGGUAUCAGAAGUGCGAAUGCUGACAUAAGUAACGAUAAAGCGGGUGAAAAGCCCGCUCGCCGGAAGACCAAGGGUUCCUGUCCAACGUUAAUCGGGGCAGGGUGAGUCGACCCCUAAGGCGAGGCCGAAAGGCGUAGUCGAUGGGAAACGGGUUAAUAUUCCCGUACUUGGUGUUACUGCGAAGGGGGGACGGAGAAGGCUAUGUUGGCCGGGCGACGGUUGUCCCGGUUUAAGCGUGUAGGUGUGUGUUCCAGGUAAAUCCGGUUCACUUUAACACUGAGGCGUGACGACGAGGCACUACGGUGCUGAAGCAACAAAUGCCCUGCUUCCAGGAAAAGCCUCUAAGCAUCAGGUAACAUCAAAUCGUACCCCAAACCGACACAGGUGGUCAGGUAGAGAAUACCAAGGCGCUUGAGAGAACUCGGGUGAAGGAACUAGGCAAAAUGGUGCCGUAACUUCGGGAGAAGGCACGCUGACACGUAGGUGAAGUGAUUUACUCAUGGAGCUGAAGUCAGUCGAAGAUACCAGCUGGCUGCAACUGUUUAUUAAAAACACAGCACUGUGCAAACACGAAAGUGGACGUAUACGGUGUGACGCCUGCCCGGUGCCGGAAGGUUAAUUGAUGGGGUCAGCGCAAGCGAAGCUCCUGAUCGAAGCCCCGGUAAACGGCGGCCGUAACUAUAACGGUCCUAAGGUAGCGAAAUUCCUUGUCGGGUAAGUUCCGACCUGCACGAAUGGCGUAAUGAUGGCCAGGCUGUCUCCACCCGAGACUCAGUGAAAUUGAACUCGCUGUGAAGAUGCAGUGUACCCGCGGCAAGACGGAAAGACCCCGUGAACCUUUACUAUAGCUUGACACUGAACAUUGAGCCUUGAUGUGUAGGAUAGGUGGGAGGCUUUGAAGUGUGGACGCCAGUCUGCAUGGAGCCGACCUUGAAAUACCACCCUUUAAUGUUUGAUGUUCUAACGUGGACCCGUUACCCGGGUUGCGGACAGUGUCUGGUGGGUAGUUUGACUGGGGCGGUCUCCUCCUAAAGAGUAACGGAGGAGCACGAAGGUUGGCUAAUCCUGGUCGGACAUCAGGAGGUUAGUGCAAUGGCAUAAGCCAGCUUGACUGCGAGCGUGACGGCGCGAGCAGGUGCGAAAGCAGGUCAUAGUGAUCCGGUGGUUCUGAAUGGAAGGGCCAUCGCUCAACGGAUAAAAGGUACUCCGGGGAUAACAGGCUGAUACCGCCCAAGAGUUCAUAUCGACGGCGGUGUUUGGCACCUCGAUGUCGGCUCAUCACAUCCUGGGGCUGAAGUAGGUCCCAAGGGUAUGGCUGUUCGCCAUUUAAAGUGGUACGCGAGCUGGGUUUAGAACGUCGUGAGACAGUUCGGUCCCUAUCUGCCGUGGGCGCUGGAGAACUGAGGGGGGCUGCUCCUAGUACGAGAGGACCGGAGUGGACGCAUCACUGGUGUUCGGGUUGUCAUGCCAAUGGCACUGCCCGGUAGCUAAAUGCGGAAGAGAUAAGUGCUGAAAGCAUCUAAGCACGAAACUUGCCCCGAG